GACGAACGCUGGCGGCGUGCUUAACACAUGCAAGUCGAACGGAAAGGCCCUGCUUUUGUGGGGUGCUCGAGUGGCGAACGGGUGAGUAACACGUGAGUAACCUGCCCUUGACUUUGGGAUAACUUCAGGAAACUGGGGCUAAUACCGGAUAGGAGCUCCUGCUGCAUGGUGGGGGUUGGAAAGUUUCGGCGGUUGGGGAUGGACUCGCGGCUUAUCAGCUUGUUGGUGGGGUAGUGGCUUACCAAGGCUUUGACGGGUAGCCGGCCUGAGAGGGUGACCGGCCACAUUGGGACUGAGGUACGGCCCAGACUCCUACGGGAGGCAGCAGUGGGGAAUAUUGCACAAUGGGCGGAAGCCUGAUGCAGCAACGCCGCGUGCGGGAUGACGGCCUUCGGGUUGUAAACCGCUUUCGCCUGUGACGAAGCGUGAGUGACGGUAAUGGGUAAAGAAGCACCGGCUAACUACGUGCCAGCAGCCGCGGUGAUACGUAGGGUGCGAGCGUUGUCCGGAUUUAUUGGGCGUAAAGGGCUCGUAGGUGGUUGAUCGCGUCGGAAGUGUAAUCUUGGGGCUUAACCCUGAGCGUGCUUUCGAUACGGGUUGACUUGAGGAAGGUAGGGGAGAAUGGAAUUCCUGGUGGAGCGGUGGAAUGCGCAGAUAUCAGGAGGAACACCAGUGGCGAAGGCGGUUCUCUGGGCCUUUCCUGACGCUGAGGAGCGAAAGCGUGGGGAGCGAACAGGCUUAGAUACCCUGGUAGUCCACGCUGUAAACGGUGGGUACUAGGUGUGGGGUCCAUUCCACGGGUUCCGUGCCGUAGCUAACGCUUUAAGUACCCCGCCUGGGGAGUACGGCCGCAAGGCUAAAACUCAAAGGAAUUGACGGAGCCCCGCACAAGCGGCGGAGCAUGCGGAUUAAUUCGAUGCAACGCGUAGAACCUUACCUGGGUUUGACAUGGAUCGGGAGUGCUCAGAGAUGGGUGUGCCUCUUUUGGGGUCGGUUCACAGGUGGUGCAUGGCUGUCGUCAGCUCGUGUCGUGAGAUGUUGGGUUAAGUCCCGCAACGAGCGCAACCCUUGUUCACUGUUGCCAGCACGUUAUGGUGGGGACUCAGUGGAGACCGCCGGGGUCAACUCGGAGGAAGGUGGGGAUGACGUCAAGUCAUCAUGCCCCUUAUGUCCAGGGCUUCACGCAUGCUACAAUGGCUGGUACAGAGAGUGGCGAGCCUGUGAGGGUGAGCGAAUCUCGGAAAGCCGGUCUCAGUUCGAAUUGGGGUCUGCAACUCGACCUCAUGAAGUCGGAGUCGCUAGUAAUCGCAGAUCAGCAACGCUGCGGUGAAUACGUUCCCGGGGCU
rnacentral:rRNA from 1 species